GGGCCCGCACAAGCGGUGGAGCAUGUGGUUUAAUUCGAUGAUACGCGAGGAACCUUACCAGGGCUUAAAUGUAGUAUGACCGGCUUGGAAACAGGCCUUCUCUUCGGAGCAGAUUACAAGGUGCUGCAUGGUUGUCGUCAGCUCGUGCCGUGAGGUGUCAGGUUAAGUCCUAUAACGAGCGCAACCCCUGUCGUUAGUUACCAGCGGUUCGGCCGGGGACUCUAAGAAGACUGCCAGCGCAAGCUGAGAGGAAGGUGGGGAUGACGUCAAAUCAUCACGGCCCUUACGUCCUGGCUACACACGUGCUACAAUGGUACAGACAGAGGGCAGCCACCUGGCGACAGGGAG
rnacentral:rRNA from 1 species